CUGCUCGCUUCUGCAGCACAUAUACUAAAAUUAGAACGAUACAGGAAAGAUUAGCAUGGCCCCUGUAUCAUAAACUGCUAUCCCUCAAUUUAGACAGAACUAAAAGUAAU